rnacentral:rRNA from 1 species
AUACGGAGGGGGUUAGCGUUGUUAGGAAUUACUGGGCGUAAAGCGUACGUAGGCGGACUGGAAAGUUUGGGGUGAAAUCCCGGGGCUCAACCCCGGAACUGCCUCCAAAACUUCCAAUCUAGAGAUCGAGAGAGGUGAGUGGAAUUCCAAGUGUAGAGGUGAAAUUCGUAGAUAUUUGGAGGAACACCAGUGGCGAAGGCGGCUCACUGGCUCGAUACUGACGCUGAGGUACGAAAGCGUGGGGAGCAAACAGGAUUAGAAACCCUAGUAGUCC